rnacentral:rRNA from 1 species
GGAUCCGUAACUUCGGAAUAAGGAUUGGCUCUGAGGAGCGGGGCGUGUCGGGCUUAAUAGGGAAGUAGGUUGGUCGACGUGCCGGGCCUGGGCGAGUUUUUCAUAAUUAAAAAUUUAUUUUUUUUUUUAUAAAAACAAGCUUGGUCCCGUGCCUUGGCCUCCUAUGAAUCUUUUUUGCUGCGAGAUUUUAGUAUAUAAAUUUAUUUUUAUUGCUAUUAUUCUCUUCGACCUAGGCCAUUCAACGCUCAGCUCAGAACUGGCACGGACUAGGGGAAUCCGACUGUCUAAUUAAAACAAAGCAUUGCAGUGGCCCUCACGGUGUUGACGCAAUGUGAUUUCUGCCCAGUGCUCUGAAUGUCAACGUGAAGAAAUUCAAGCAAGCGCGGUAAACGGCGGGAGUAACUAUGUCUCUCUUAAGGUAGCCAAAUGCCUCGUCAUCUAAUUAGUGACGCGCAUGAAUGGAUUAACGAGAUUCCCUCUGUCCCUAUCUAC